rnacentral:tRNA from 1 species
AGGAAUAUGACUUAGUGGUAUAAUACUUGCCUAGCAUGCAUGAAGCCCUGGGUUUGAUUCCUCAGUAUUCAUA